ACCAGGGGCUCCCCACACCGUGCACCCUCUCUCCAUUCCACGUGGCCCGUUGUGGGUGGUUGAGCAGACAGAGGAUGCCAAGAGGAGCCAGCCUGCCAGGGACAAGCAAGAGUGGAGCAGUCAUGAGAGUGGAAGAUAAUGAAUAGCAGCUGCUGUUUGUGGAGGCCGUACCACCUGCUGGGACCACCCUGGGCUGAGCCCACUGUAAACAUCCAUUUAUCAAAGCCCCAUCACAGCCCUCCAAGGGAAGAUGCCAGAUCCACAAAGAGUGUGAGCUUCUCCACCUAAGUGGAGAUGUCAAAUGGACGGUUGAUUUUGCGGGUCUGGAAUCCAGAGAAGAAAUCAAAGCUGGCAAGAAGUGAAUCAGGUCUUAUCACCACAAAGACCCCACAGGGUGGCUGAGAUGGCUGGCUCAAGGCAGUGUGAAGAGUAAGAAAAGGCCCAGGCCGGGUGCAGUGGCCUAUGCCUGUAAUCCCAGAACUUUUGGAGGCUGAGGGGAGAGGAUUGCUUGAGCCCAGAAGUUUGAGACCAGCCUAGGCGACAUAGCGAGACCCUGUCUCUAGUGAGACUCCGCCUCUAAAGAAAAAAAAAAAAAGGAAAGGCCCAGGACAGCCCCGAGAUUUAAAGGGUGGCACAAGUACAAAUCAGGCUGUUAGAAUGGUCCCUUUGGGGUAAAUAAACAUAAUA